GACGAACGCUGGCGGCGUGCUUAACACAUGCCAGUCGAACGGAAAGGCCCUGCUUUUGUGGGGUGCUCGAGUGGCGAACGGGUGAGUAACACGUGAGUAACCUGCCCUUGACUUUGGGAUAACUUCAGGAAACUGGGGCUAAUACCGGAUAGGAGCUCCUGCUGCAUGGUGGGGGUUGGAAAGUUUCGGCGGUUGGGGAUGGACUCGCGGCUUAUCAGCUUGUUGGUGGGGUAGUGGCUUACCAAGGCUUUGACGGGUAGCCGGCCUGAGAGGGUGACCGGCCACAUUGGGACUGAGAUACGGCCCAGACGCCUACGGGAGGCAGCAGUGGGGAAUAUUGCACAAUGGGCGGAAGCCGGAUGCAGCAACGCCGCGUGGGGGAUGACGGCCUUCGGGUUGUAAACCGCUUUCGCCUGUGACGAAGCGUGAGUGACGGUAAUGGGUAAAGAAGCACCGGCUAACUACGUG
rnacentral:rRNA from 1 species